rnacentral:rRNA from 1 species
UGGGGAAUAUUGCACAAUGGACGAAAGUCUGAUGCAGCAACGCCGCGUGGAGGAUGACACAUUUCGGUGCGUAAACUCCUUUUAUAUAGGAAGAUAAUGACGGUACUAUAUGAAUAAGCACCGGCUAACUCCGUGCCAGCAGCCGCGGUAAUACGGAGGGUGCAAGCGUUACUUGGAAUCACUGGGCGUAAAGAGCGUGUAGGCGGGUAUAUAAGUCAGAAGUGAACUCCAAUAGCUUAACUAUUGAACUGCUUUUGAAACUGUAUACCUAGAAUGUGGGAGAGGUAGAUGGAAUUUCUGGUGUAGGGGUAAAAUCCGUAGAGAUCAGAAGGAAUACCGAUUGCGAAGGCGAUCUACUGGAACAUUAUUGACGCUGAGACGCGAAAGCUUGGGGAGCAAACA